AUCUGUUUUGUUUUGUUUUAUCUUCCCGCCUCACUGGUCCCUCCUCGGCCACUGCCGCAGACCAAAGAUGAAAGAACCAGAAGAAAUCGAUUGCUAUCGAGUUCUGAAAGUGCCUAAAGGCGCAACGCUCCUUGAUAUAAAGAAGUCGUAUCGUAAGCGCAUUUUCCGGGCGCAGAAACGGCUCCAUUUGUCAAGGUCAUUUUUUUCAUUUUAUUUAUUAUUUUAUUUAUUUAUUUAUUUUUGAGGUUGGAGAAGGAGAACUUGCUUGGGUGGUCGACCAGAUAUGGUGAAGCAAAACCUAACACUCGAGCCCAUUUUCGCAGGUCUAAAAUGCAUGGGAGACCUUGAGCAAUGCGUCGAAACGAUAUUGUUUCGACUGCAAAUACGACAGGAUUAAAAGGGAAUGGGACAAAUACGAGGAGGUUUGCGUGCGUUCGAAGACGACGACUGGAAAACAGAAGCCCUAUACAGAAAAAGAUGUCCGCGAAAUAUUAGAAAGGCUGCGGCGUAGGAAUGAAGAAGCCGACGCUCUUCGCAAACGAGAAGAUGAGAGACGAGCCCGAGAGAAGCGGCAGCAGGAGGAAGAACGGAGAAAAAUGGAAGAACGGAGGAAAAAAGAAGAACAGGAACGAAAGAGAGACGAAAACAAAUACCCCCGCAACCAGGACACCUUCGACUUCAGGGAUAUGAGAGACGUUCUUGAUGAUAUAGAGGGACUGAGAAGGGGCCGCGCAGAGAAGCCCCGCGCAACACGACUACCGACCCCGUCUCCGAGGCGGAAUGAUCGCCGUACGUCUAUGGCGCUGGAUCGUGCCAGUAUUGCGAUCGGUACUGCCCGCAUUACUUGCUGGGCUGCCCAAGUUGCGAUGCUCGAGCAUGCGUGCCGUGCAAGAUUCGGGAGACUAGCUAUUGAAGCCUUCAGUUUCUUAAAAGCAGG
rnacentral:sRNA from 1 species